CCCUUAGAUGUUCUGGGCCGCACGCGCGCUACACUGAUGCAUUCAACGAGCCUAUCCUUGACCGACAGGUCCGGGUAAUCUUUGAAUCUGCAUCGUGACGGGGAUAGAUUAUUGCAAUUAUUAAUCUUCAACGAGGAAUGCCUAGUAGGCGCAAGCCAUCAGCUUGCGUCGAUUACGUCCCUGCCCUUUGUACACACCGCCCGUCGCUCCUACCGAUUGGGUGUGCUGGUGAAAUGUUCGGAUCGGCCGUUUGUCGCGGUUUCCGCGUCAUGUGGCUGAGAAGUUCAUUAACCCCUCCCACCUAGAGGAAGGAGAAGUCGUAACA
rnacentral:rRNA from 1 species